UACAGAGGGGGCGAGCGUUGUUCGGAAUUACUGGGCGUAAAGGGCGCGUAGGCGGCCUUCUAAGUCGAACGUGAAAUCCCCGGGCUCAACCCGGGAACUGCAUCCGAUACUGGCGGGCUUGAAUCCGGGAGAGGGAUGUGGAAUUCCAGGUGUAGCGGUGAAAUGCGUAGAUAUCUGGAGGAACACCGGUGGCGAAGGCGGGUCUCUGGGCCGAUACUGACGCUGAGGAGCGAAAGCGUGGGGAGCGAACAGG
rnacentral:rRNA from 1 species